AAGAAAAGUUAUGGCCAUUUGACAUCUACGAGCGCGAAUCUCCAAUGUCCGACUGCUCAGAAUGCAGCACGAGAUGACGUCAGAGCAAGAGACGCUUCGUUUGGAAAACUGAGUGGCGCGAAGCGAAGAGCAGGAGUCGCGAGGAAAGGAGACACGGGAGGAAAGAGACGUAUCCAUGUCCAGGUGUGAGGUGCCAGUGCAGCCAAAGCAAGAGAGUUUCCCUGAGUCCCUCCAGGAGCAGGAGAAUCUUCUGCAGCCACUGGUACAAAUCUCACCUGGUUAGAAGACUCGCAGUCCAAACAUGCAGCGCACUGUUUUGCUUGUAGGCAUUUUUCCCUCCCGAUGCUCCAAGGACUGUUUUCGUCUCAUUCAAGGGUUAU
rnacentral:lncRNA from 1 species